rnacentral:rRNA from 1 species
UACAGAGGGUGCAAGCGUUGUUCGGAAUUAUUGGGCGUAAAGCGCGUGUAGGCGGCUUUGCAAGUCGGGUGUGAAAGCCCUUGGCUCAACUGAGGAAGUGCAUCCGAAACUGGCAGCUAGAGUACUAAAGAGGGUCGCGGAAUUCCCGGUGUAGAGGUGAAAUUCGUAGAUAUCGGGAGGAACACCGGUGGCGAAGGCGGCGACCUGGGUAGAUACUGACGCUGAGGUGCGAAAGCGUGGGGAGCAAACAGG